AAAGUCGUAACAAGGUAACCGUAGGUGAACCUGCGGUUGGAUCAUUACUAAAUAAUUUGGGGUCGUUGCCCAGUGCGGGGCCUAACAAAUUUAUACACCCCUUUGUGAACCGUCAACCGUGUUUUGGCAGCCCUCCAAAAAUGGCUUUUGUUAGCCUUGGGCUGUCAGCAUUUUGCACCAACACCAAUGUUACUUUUUUUAUUAUCAACGUCCACCAAAAAGAUUUCGAUAAAAAGAGUCUUUGUUAUGAAAAAUAAUGAAACAACUUUUGACAACGGAUCUCUUGGCUCUC
rnacentral:misc_RNA from 1 species